rnacentral:lncRNA from 1 species
AAUUAGAAGGGGGCCUAUAAUUCCAACCUUAUGAUUCCAUAGUUUAUAAAUCAUGGACAUAUAAAAAUCAGGUUCGACAGGCAGUAGAAUGUGUGCUUUCCGCUUCAUUUCCUAUUCCUUGUUUGUUUGUGGGCUUAGAGCAGAUGCACACAGUCUACUAUCUAUUCGAUCUUAGUUAUAUCUAUAUAAGUAAUCAUAAAGAGUACCAGGUAUAUGUCACGUCAUAACAUACUAAUUGAAUACACCAUUUUUUAGUACAAAAACAUACUUUUCAAUUAGAACAUUUAGUAGGCUAAACUAGAAACUUAUCAGUAAAAGGUUUAAUCCAUUUUAUUAAAAUGGUAUAACUCAAAGGACCUUUAGUGGUUAAUUCUAUAAUACCUUAGUUUAUACAUCAAGUUUAUAUAUAAUUAAGACCUGAUAGACAACUGAAUGUGUGCUUUCGGCCUUACUUCCUGUUCCUUGUUUGGUUUUGGGCUUAGGGCAAAUUCACCCAAUUAACUAUCCGUUCGAUAUUAUAUUAUAUUUAGCUGGUAUAAACUAAGUGAUUAUAGAAGAAACUAUUGUGGUUACCAUUUUUACUAAAGGAAAUAAGCGUUUUCCUUAAAGAAUGUUUUCAUCAAAUAUAAAGAACUAAUACAACUAACUCCGUCAGUAUCAAAUGAAUAUGCCAGGGUUGUAUCCAACGAGGAUCUAAACAAACAAUGGGAUGUGUGCUUUCUGCGUUACUUCCUGUUCCUUGUUUUGUUGUGGGCUUAGGGCAGAUUCACACAGUCGAUUGUCUGUUUACUCUAAAUUGUAUAUAACUUGGAUCUAUUUAGUAAUUAUAGAAAGGAUUUUAGUGUAACGCUCUAAAAAUUUCAACCAAUUUAAACUUUUCAAAAACAACCCCGUUUCAUUAAGUUAUUACAAAAAGGUUUUCAAUACAAUUAUUAUCAGAGUCUUCCCAAAACCACAUCAUAAAACAUAAUCAUGAGGAGCGGUACGAUCACGCCUUUGCCUUGCCACAGUCUCCUGAAGAACCUGAAAAACAUUAAACCACAACUGUAAGCCCGAAAGCUUAGUGAGAUACCCCCAAAAUACCAACCACAUGUACCAUACACGCACAACAUGCCAUAUCAUAACAGAACACAGAACAGCCAUGCACUUCGGGUCUACUGUGUGAUUGGUCCGCCGCACCGGCCUUCAGUCCACCUAGUCCACCCUCUGAGUCUAACCAUAUACAUCGAGUCUACAAUGUGAUUGGUCCGCCCACACCGGGCCUUCAAUCCACCUGGCCCACUCUCUGAGUCUAUAGUAUGACUGGUCCGCCCGCACUGGGCCUUCAGUCGGCCUAGUCCACUCUCUGAGCCUCGGCACGUCUGGUCCACCCUCUUGGGGCCUACAGCCUAUCCGGACCACUCGCUGGGCCUUCGGGAUAACCGGUCCGNNNNNNNNNNNNNNNNNNNNNNNNNNNNNNNNNNNNNNNNNNNNNNNNNNNNNNNNNNNNNNNNNNNNNNNNNNNNNNNNNNNNNNNNNNNNNNNNNNNNNNNNNNNNNNNNNNNNNNNNNNNNNNNNNNNNNNNNNNNNNNNNNNNNNNNNNNNNNNNNNNNNNNNNNNNNNNNNNNNNNNNNNNNNNNNNNAUAUAGUGAGGAUAACUCACCUCGCAACUGCCGACUGAAAAGAUAAGACCAAGAUGCUUCGACCACUGACACGAUCUCCACCACUAGCCGACACCAACACUGAACUCAAAACAAAAGCCAACAAUUACCAAAAUGCCCCUAGAAGUCAACUCGUCAACCCUUGGUCAAAGUCAAUCUCCUGACUGACUCUAAUCUCCGAGUCUACCCGAUGACUCGCCGAGUCCCCAUGCUCAGAACUUCACCAAUCCGCGACUCAACUCGCCGAGUCACCCCGAGACUCGCCGAGUCCCAUAACUCUGAGUCCCCUAGCACUCAACUCACCGAGUCCUCCCUUGACGCACCGAUUCACGGCUCAACCAGAAGAAGGUUAGGACCUUACGACCAGACUCGCCGAGUCCAAGAACAGACUCGCCGAGUCCAAGGCUAUCUUCAACCAACUCGCCGAGUUGUUCUUCCAACUCGCCGAGUUCCAGCCCAUCUUCAAGCAACUCGCCGAGUACACCUUUGUGACUCGCCGAGUACCUCUAGAUCUUAAUCCAUACAGAAGCUUUCCAGACCAUGCAAAAGAUUCAAACCACAGAUCUACCCUUCUACAACCCAUCCAUCACGUAAAGUGGCAAACUUUACAUGAAUCUAAAGAGAUCUAAGCAUAAGACACUCUAGGGUUAGGGUUUAGGACAAGAUGGCUUCACCAAUCACUCAAGAACAGGGACUUUAAUGCACUUUAGACCUUCUCCAUUCCAGAUCUGAGGUAGCAACCUCAGAUCUAACCUCGAAACUCACAACACCACAUGCUAUCUUUUCCAAAAACUCCAAAAUGAUGAAUAACAGCCCAAGCAAUGAAAUAAUACCUCAAAGGAAAGCUCCAACAGAAGAGAAAUCCAAAUCCUUGCAAAGCCCCUUGCUCCAAGCCUCUUAGCUUUCCAAAAUCUCUUCUCUAAGGUUCAAAAGCUCUUAAACCACUCACAAACGCGCCUUAGGGUUUUUCUGGACUUCAAGAGAGGGUAAAGAGGCUGGGGAGAGGGUAUAAUGUCCUUUAAAUAGGGCUUAUCCUUCGAAAUUAGGGUUUUCUCCACUCAGCACCAACUCGCCGAGUCCAGCCGCCGACUCGCCAAGUAGGCCACUUAACACGCGACCAGAGUCGCGACCCUACUCGCCGAGUCCACCCAUGGACUCGCCGAGUUGCCCUUUCACAUUUACACUUUGAACACUGAACUUGCACUCCUGAACUCGGGAUGUUACAAUUCUCCCCCACUUAAAUUAGGCUUCGUCCUCAAAGCCUGCGGCAACACAACCCCAGAAUUACUCUCACAGUGCACUUCCUGGCAUUAACCAGACCAGGUUCCUCAAAACACAACCACUGAAACCAAACUCUUCCCCUGCGGCGUUUUGACCACCGCCUCAAGCCGCCCACCGGCCUCAUCCUCAGAUAACCACACUUAACAGCCAAGUACCACUCCAUGAUACUUCACUCGUUCCAGAUCACAACAUGCACUUGACUCAUACGAGCUAGAAAUAACCCUGAACCACCGGAAUCCCGAUCUGAGCCCAACUUUAUCCACUCCAUGCUGACAGGAUGACACAUCCUUCAGCUUCAGAGCAACUCCCAUGAGUUCUCCUCCGCAAUUACAUACACAUACUGAACUGGAUCUAGCAUCCUCGGGUUGCGAAGACCCGACACACUGACGACACCUCCAAACAUCCCCCAGGAUGAAUUACUAUUACAUACACAAUUCCUUGAUCAAAAUCAAGCUGGGAAUCCAAGACUCCAUCCCUGCAUCCCUUCCGAGCCUCUUGGCUCUACACCCUCGGAAUUCCUUCCGUGACCUCAGCAGACAUCCAAUCCGGAUGUGAUUCCAAACCACUGCCGCAAACACACUGCUCAAUGACCAUAAUUGGAACACCCCAAUCAUAACUCCGCACUACUGCUUUCACUUCCGUGAACUUACACUCCCUCUUGGAGCUACAUUAUUUUCCCUUCCCUUACCAAGGAAAACCACUUGGCUGUCUUGACACUACCACAAGUGCCACGGUGCUCGCCCAAUACUACACCAUUUCCUUAUAGCAUAACCGCUAUCCCAUGCACCACACAUACUCUGAAUCCGCUCGCAGGGACUCUCAAGUCCAUGCACUACCUCCACUAAUCAUGAUCAAUAUCUGGAGCCAGACCUUCUGAUGCUAUCACAUCACGACAUACUCAUUCCAUAUCCCCAUACAGAUCUAUUAACACAUGCAGAGUCUUCAGCAUGACUGGACUGCCUUACCAGGCCUUCAGCCCAUCUGGACCACUCUCAGAACCUUCAACAGGUCUGGACCACACUCCAGGGCCUUCAGUCUGUCUGGACCGUUCUCCAAGCCUUCGGCCUAACUGGUACGCCCACUGGCCUUCAGUCUAUCCGGACCACUCAACUAGCAUUCAUCAUACUGCGUUAUCCCUCUAGAAAACUCUCCCAUGCAUAUUGUUCUAGCCCUCUAGGGGUUCCGAACUCUAUCUCCACCUUACAUAUUCAAACCCGGCCUGAUCCCAGGACUUCCACAAUCAAUCACCCUUGGUCUACAUCCCACCCCACCUGUCUGACACUUGCUCAUACCAGCCUACGCUCAGCUGACAGAACCACUAUUGAAUCCCAACAACUAAACAACCUCUCAUGCUUAUCGAUCUUCCGGAGAAUUCUCCAAUUCUCCCCCACUUAGAGCACUGACUAUCAACCACCGGUCGCCAUCACCAACCUCUCUCGACAACCCUACACAAUACAAACCCUUACACGCGAACUGAUUCUCACCAGAACGAGCAAUCUUCACAACUUUACAUAACAACAUUGAUCCUCCCAGGCUCAAAAGAAACCCGAUCUUCAGCUAACCACUCCUCAGACUGCAGAUGCUACCCGGCAUUCAAACCAAAAGCCUGAUUCCCACUAAUAAUCCUCAUGGAUGAUAACCAACGAAAUUUCCAACACCAAACCAAUAACCAUACCACAACCCUCAAGGAACAACGAAUACAAUACCAAAAAUCACACAACGAGACUAACAAAUAAACAAUACUCCACAAUAAUCACCAAAUAACAAGACAUCAAGAAAGAAACAUACCCACAGCUGCAUCCGGCACUGCCCUGACCUCCUCCGCUGUAAGCUGAAAAGCACGACCCUGAGCCCUUGGGGGCUCCGAUCCACCCUGACCUCCACCAGUAAUCCUCAAAGUGGCUGGUGUUGGAGCCUGCACCGGUCCUGCAGCAAGCUGUGGACAGUUGACCCUCAAGUGUCCAACCUGAUGGAAAUGAUAACAAAUCCUCAAAUCCCGAACCGGGGCUGUCUGCCGACAAUCCCUCGCAUAGUGCCCCUCCUUUUCGCACUUGCGGCAUGCACCACCGGACCUACAAACUCCGGUGUGACCCUUCCCACACUUCCGACAAGUGUGGCUGCUCUGAUAUCCCAAUCUAGAAUCAAUGGUCUUGGACCGUUUCGGCGCUGGCUGCGACUGCACCGGAGCCUACCUCUGCUCUCGCAACUACAACUCAAUCUCCAACUCACGCCACCUGGCGGCCUCCUGCAACUCCAACAAGGUCUCGCACCUCUGCGUAGACACAAACUGCAUGAUAACCCUCUUGAGCAUACUCAGUUAUUGGGACAUCUGAGCCUGCUCCGAAGUGAACUCAGGGCAAAACAUCACCCUCUCAGUGAGCAUCCUGGUGAUCUCCGUCACCGACUCUGAAUCCUGCUUCAGCUCCAGGAACUCCUGAGCCAACCUCUCUCUCUCUCUCAACCCGCGGAACAUAACGAGUGCUAAACAUCUCCCGGAAAUGAUCCCAAGAAACCGCAGCCCUCUGUGCAUCCGAAUAUGACCCAGUGGUCAAUCUCCACCAAUCCUUCGCCCCGAGCCACAACAGGUUCAGAGCACACCUCACCCUCUGAUCAGCAGGACAUGAACACGUGAAGAAACACCCCUCCACGUCCGACAACCAUCUCAUAGCAACAAUCGGGUCCUGAGCUCCAUCGAAGAUAGGGGAUUCGUAUUAUCGAAGUCCCGAUACUGAAAACCUCGACCGGCUCCUCCCCCUGCCGCUGCUACAACCGCUAUAGCCGCCGCAGCAGCCGUCUCUGUGAGAGCCGCAUAGCGCUCAUCAAAAUACUCAACCAAGGCGGUCUUGAUCAUCCCAAACAACUCCGGAAACUCGGUUCGAAACAAUGCAGCAACCUCAUCAUGCAGGAUCUCACGAAUCCUAGCAUCCAACUCGCCUGUGCUCAUUUGACCAAUAACUGCAGGCAGUACUGACCCACUCUGACCGCCCUCUCCUACUCCCGAUCCUGACCCGGAUCCGCUCCCAGCAUGCCUCAUAAUCACCAUACUUAAGAACACCGCAAGAUCUUAGAUACUUCCCACAAACCCGGGAACCAACCCCAACCCAACCCUAGAGGUUGUGGCUUCUUUGAUAUGCGUAUGGGUCCUGUGCUUUCAGUAGUACGGACCCAUACUACCUUCCACACCAACCCAUAUUUAUAUCAAUUAUCACCACAAAACCCUAGAGAAGAAAAUACAUAACAAGCACUCAACCCUCACUCCUAGAGGAACACUGGAAAUCUCACACAGAAGAGACCCUAGGCUAGCAGGUAUCAUAAAUCAAGCAACAUUAACAUGAAAUCCUGAAGAUCCCUAGCCUAGUACUAGCAUGUUGUUCUAUCAUAGCUCAAAAACAAAUAUCAUGUAUGGUAUUUUGGGGUUACUUACUGGCUCCGGCUGAUCGUACCUCCGCGUCCUCCUUUACUCAUUUUGAAAACCAUUUUAAAUUCUCUUUUGAAAACUCUCCUUGAUUUGAGACUGGAUUCACACGAAUGUUCCUCCAAUUCACUCAAACCAAGGCUCUGAUACCAACUUGUAACGCUCUAAAAAUUUCAACCAAUUUAAACUUUUCAAAAACAACCCAGUUUCAUUAAGUUAUUACAAAAAGGUUUUCAAUACAAUUAUUAUCAGAGUCUUCCCAGAACCACAUCAUAAAACAUAAUCAUGAGGAGCGGUACGAUCACGCCUUUGCCUUGCCACGGUCUCCUGAAGAACCUGAAAAACAUUAAACCACAACUGUAAGCCCGAAAGCUUAGUGAGAUACCCCCAAAAUACCAACCACAUAUACCAUACACGCACAACAUGCCAUAUCAUAACAAAACAUAGAAUAGCCAUGCACUUCGGGUCUACUGUGUGACUGGUCCGCCGCACCGGCCUUCAGUCCACCUGGCCACCCUCCGAGUCUAACCAUAUACAUCGAGUCUACAGUGUGAUUCGUCCGCCCGCACCGGGCCUUCAAUCCACCUGGUCCACUCUCUGAGUCUAUAGUAUGACUAGUUCGCCCGCACUGGGCCUUCAGUCGUUCUGGUCCACUCUUCGAGCCUCGGCACGUCUGGUCCGACCUCUUGGAGCCUACAGCCUAUCCGGACCGCUCGCUGGGCCUUCAGGAUAACCGGUCUGCCCUGGGUAUGUUGGCCUACAGCACAAAGCAGGACCCACCUCAACCCAACUCCAGUCUAACAACCAUGUGCACAUAACAUUCAAUCAUAUAACAAUUCACAUCCAAUCAAACCGAUCUAGCGGAUCACAUAGCAUAACAUCAUCCUAACCAGGAUACCGACCUAACCGGUCACUAGCAUAAACCAUCCUAACUACCAGGAUGCAGCAUAAAAAUGCAAAUAACAUAACAAUGAUACCCGGAUCACAAUUCGAUAAAGGGUCGGCCUUGGUGCCGUAGACCCUGUCGAUAUAGUGAGGAUAACUCACCUCGCAACUGCCGACUGAAAAGAUAAGACCAAGAUGCUUCGACCACUGACACGAUCUCCACCACUAGCCGACACCAACACUGAACUCAAAACAAAAGCCAACAAUUACCAAAAUGCCCCUGGAAGUCAACUGGUCAAUCCUUGGUCAAAUUCAAUCUCCCGACUGACUCUACUCGCCGAGUCUACCCGAUGACUCGCCGAUUCCCCAUGCUCAGAACUUCACCAAUCCGCGACUUAACUCGCCGAGUCACCCUGAGACUCAUCGAGUCCCAUAACUCUGAGUCCCCUAGGACUCAACUCACCGAGUCCUCCCUUGACUCACCGAUUCACGGCUCAACCAGAAGAAGGUUAGGACCUUACGACCAGACUCGCUGAGUCCAAGGCUAUCUUCAACCAACUCGUCGAGUUGUUCUUCCAACUCGCCGAGUUCCUGACCAUCUUCAAGCAACUUGCCAAGUACACCUUUGUGACUCGCCAAGUACCUCUAGAUCUUAAUCCAUACAGCAGCUUUCCAGGCCAUGCAAAAGAUCCAAACCAACAGAUCUACCCUUCUACAACCCAUCCAUCACGUAAAGUGGCAAACUUUACGUGAAUCCAAAGAGAUCUAAGCAUAAGACACUCUAGGGUUAGGGUUUGGGACAAGAUGGCUUCACCAAUCACUCAAGAACAGGGACUUUAAUGCACUCUAGACCUUCUCCAUUCCAGAUCUGAGGUAGCAACCUCAGAUCUAACCUCCAAACUCACAAUACCACAUGCUAUCUUUUCCAAAAACUCCAAAAUGAUGAAUAACAGCCCAAGCAAUGAAAUAAUACCUCAAAGGAAAGCUCCAACAGAGGAGAAAUCCAAAUCCUUGCAAAGCCCCUUGCUCCAAGCCUCUUAGCUUUCCAAAAUCUCUUCCAAAAUCUCUUCUCUAAGGUUCAAAAUCUCUUAAACCACUCACAAACGUGCCUUAGGGUUUUUCUGGACUUCAAGAGAGGGUAAAGAGGCUAGGGAGAGGGUAUAAUGUCCUUUAAAUAAGGCUCAUCCUCCGAAAUUAAGGUUUUCUCCACUCAGCACCAACUCGCCGAGUCCAUCCGCCGACUCACCGAGUUUGCCACUUAACAAGCGACCAGAGUCGCGACCUUACUCAUCAAGUCCACCCAUGGACUAGCCGAGUUGCCCUUUCACAUUUACACUUUGAACCCUGAAUUUGCACUCCUGAACUCGGGAUGUUACAUUUAGAGUUAUUUUUGCUUAUCAUUCAUCACAUCUGAAAAUUUAGGAUUUUCUGGAGGAACAGGAGAACUUUUCUAAAAAGAACAUACUUUACAUCACUAAAAUACUUAUGAACUCACCAGCUUAAAUGCUGAUCUAAUCAUUCAAAAUAACUUGUAUUCUCAGGAAACUAGUAGACAGGUACGUGCACUGGGAUUCAGAAGAUGGAGCAUAGUAGCUUCAUGUCUUGUUUUGUUAUUUACUUUUAAGUCAACCUUUAUGAAUCACAUACUUUGUAAACACUUAAAUAUUAAUGCAAUGGUUGUUUGUUACUUUGAUUACUAUGAUGCAUGUGUUGUGAUACUAAACAUAGUGUCCUCCGCCCCCGAACAUUUCCGCCGUUUCGGUUUGUAGGUGUGGCAGAUUAGUAUCAGAGCAUUGUUUAUAGUGAACUAAGUAUAUCAACCUAUAAAAGAUAUACAACUAUAAAUGCAAUGGGGAUGUAGUGCUCUGAAUAAUAAUAUAUUUUAAGAAAUAACAAUAUUCUUAAUAUAUAUAUAUAUAUAUAUAUAUACAUACACGCUUAUACAUAUAUACAUACUAGAACAAGUAUCACAAGAAGAACAGAAAAAAAAGUAUUUAAAGGUUGGACACUACGGUCAAACCUGGACAGUGAUAUAAUCAUAUCUGGGAUCAAUAUAUCCUAAUUAACUAUAAUCAUUUAAGAUAUGACCAACGUAUUUUUGGGAGUGAUGUAGUGUUGCAACACUCUUAAAACUUACUUAACUCUAUUCAAGGGAUUUCUAGAUCAGAACAAAAGGUUAAAAUACUAUGGGAGUAAUUUAUGAUACUAUAAGACAAUAACAAGUUUAAAACAUACCAAGUUCAUUACAUUAAAAUACUAUAGGAGUAUUUUAGGAACUAUAUAAAUAACUUAUGUGAUCAUUUAAAAGACCCUUCUUGUAGGUCUAUGAUUCCGGAGUGUAUACUUCCAAGGCUCUAUGUAAUUGAGAUUUUAUAGACAUAGAAUUUGUGAUAUAUGCUUCACUUCCUAUUCCUUGUUUGGUUGUGGUUUUGGAGUAGGAUCACUUAUUCGAAAGUCUAUUUAAUCUUUAAUUAUAUUCAACUUGUAUACAUUGCGCAAUUAUAGGAGGAACCGGUAAUGAUCAGCCCAUAAUGUUACCCUUAAUCUCAUAGAUUCUUUAGACACUUCCGUUCUCGUACGACAAACCCUGAUAGAUGUAACCACUCCAUCAUGACAGUCAGCACAGGAGUCAAGGAGAGACAACAAGAGAUUUCCAAGAGGUGAUCAGUCGGAGAAACUGAAACGUCCUAUGCGUCACACUAAUAAAUAAUUGCCUUAAUUGCCUUUGUGAGCUAGUGGUUACACUACUCACAUUAUGUGUUAGAAUUAUUUCUUUUCAUGCAGCCAUUAUCAGUUGUCUAAUUCACAGAAAUUCAUUCAAGGAUAGCCACUUCGAAUUCAUAAAGUUUAUUUUGUAUAGACUCCUUUUAUUAAUUGUUUCUAGAGCCCUAUGGAAGUCCGAACCAGAUACGUUCAAAACUAGAAUAACUUAGUCUUUCAGAUUUCGGCUUAUAUCUACUGAUAUAGACUUAUUUCCAUCUUAUCUGUGUAUUCUUUUUAGCAAGAUGCAUCCACGACGAUCAUCGAUACGGACUAUUCCGAUAACCCCAACUCAAACUCCACUACCUUCUCCACAAUUCCAUCUUGUUGCUCUCCAAGCAGCGAUAGCCGCCGCAGUAGCAGCUGCACUAACUCACAUUCGCGAAAGUGGUACCAGUGGAACGGGUAGCAGUACCCACUUAACAAACCCCUGAGUUACCCACGGACACCCACGUGAGUGUUCAUACAAUGAGUUCAUGAACUGAAAACCCAAAUCCUUUAAUGGAAAUGAAGCAGUCGUUGCUCUGAUCCGAUGGUUCGAGAAAACAGAGUCGGUCUUCGGAAUCUAUUUGUGCCCAGAAUGGAGCAAAGUUAAGUUUGUUGCCUGCACCUUCUCUGACAAGGCCCUAACAUGGUGGAAUAGCCAUGUUAAGUUACUGACUCUACCAGUGGCUAACUCGAUAGGUUGGGAAAACCUAAAGGAGAUGAUGUUAGAAGAAUACUGCCCAAGGGGCGAAGUUCAAAAGCUAGAACAAGAGCUAUGGGAGCAUACCAUGGUUGGCUUAGACAUAGUGACCCAUACUGACAGGUUUAGCGAUCUGGAAGCACUAUUCCCUGAGAUGGUUACCCCAGAGAGUAAGAAGAUAGAAAGAUACAUUUGGGGUUUAUCUACCCCAAUUCAAGGAGAUGUACUGUCUUCUAAACCAACUACAUUUGAUAGCGCCAAAUGCCUGGCCCAACGACUCGUUGACCAUGGAGUUCGCCACGGCAUAGCGAUCCCUGUUCCCAAGCCAUCAAAGGGAGGAGACUAUAAACGAAAGUUGGGGAAAAAGAUGAAGGAGCGAACAACCCAGGAAACCCUGCAGGAGAAACAAAUGGUGACUGCAUGCGCCGCCACAAUAUCUGCUACUCCAGUACCUGCCAUUCGAUAUGUUGGAUCUCUCCCGAAGUGUGGAAAAUGUAAUUACCACCACACCGGAGUCUGUCAGGAAAUGCAUUGCCUAAAUUGCCACAGGAAGGGGCACACUGCUCGGUUCUACAGGGCACCAGCACAACCGAUCUCCUAAGUCCAUGGAUUAGAAAUAGACCAGGCCUGUUGUUGCUGUGGUGAGACAGGGCAUUAGAAGAGGGACUGCCCAAUAACGAACAACUCAGGCGUAAUUGGACAGAUUCUGAUGAUCACCGUAGGAGAAACUACCCCGUAGUCCGCAACACAGCGGUACAUCUUCGAAUUAAGAAUUUCUUUAACAUUAAUUUAUAAUUAUAUAAGAUUAAAACUUGGGGAAAACAUUUAAAAGUAAUUAUAAUAACUCACUCAUCUGAACAAGUCACAUCAUUCAAGAGAGAACUAAAUAUCCGUUCAGGGAAGCUAUGAUGGCUUAGUAUGUACAUCAGGGUUGUGCAUAGCUAAGAUUUUGCAGACUUAGAGUGAGUGAUUCUGCCUUAAUUCAUGUGCCUUGUUUGGUAGCAGAUUUAGGGCAGAGCCACUUAGUCGACCGUCUUAUUCAUCUUAACCAUACAUAACCUAUAUAUGUUAGGCGAUCAUAGAGGUACCGAGGAGGAUCAUAAUAUAGAGUAUCGACACUAGUUAUCAAAACACUGCACUAUUAGUACUCGCUAAUCACGGUACGAUGUGUGGUAGUGGUAUAUCAAGGGGAAAAACAGAAAGCACUAGAACAUUUACACAUAAUACAUUGUCGACCACAAUCGGGAUACAUUGUCGUAUACGAAAUGUUUCUUUCAAAUCGGCCUAACAUUUGUUUCAAUAAAGAGUCCAUUGUCAUCAUUCGACAUGAAUUGGCGUGGUCCUCACCAUAAUAAGUUCAUAUGUUUCCAUUGUCUCGACCUUCAAAUUCAUGACACCCUCGUCAUUAGUAACGGCAACCCGAUAUAGACCUUAGUAUUGUCUCUUGUCUUCUAAACAACCCCGAAGUACUCAUGCGAGGAGUACCUUGCCCUCCGAAACCUCGACAACCAUAUACGUAGCAGACCUUCCCGAACUACCACUCGUCCAACAUAUCAAGUUCCAGCAUAGAGGCUAAGGAUGAAUACAGCCCACCUAUCACUAGUAACUGUAUACGCUAGAGUGGUAUAUAAUCAUCAUUAUGCAGAUUUAGUAUGUGUGUUUCUGCCCAAUCUCCUGUUCCUUGUUUAGUUGUGGACCAGGAACAGAGUCGCACAUCUGACCGUCCUACUAAUCUUAAUUAUAUACGACUUAUAUAUACACGAGGAAAUGAUAGAUGGACCUGAAAUGAUUCCUAUCAUGGACAUUAGGGCAAAGUUGCCAGGGUCUACGAGUGGGUAUUCUACCAAUCAGAGGAGCACAACCCCAGGAGUACUACUAAGAAAGCUAAUUUCGGGACGCAAUUUCAUCUAACAGGGGGAUGAUAUGAAAACCCAAAAUUUUUGUCUUGUAAGUCCAGCCAAUCAAUCGAGAUUCAGACUCAUUUCUGCUAUUGCUUAGCAUUGUUUAGGGUUUGUUUGAGUGUUCUAAGCCUAGUACAUUCAAGUUUUGGGUUGAAGGAUGAGUUAACUUAGGUUCUUCAUGUUGCAUUCGGGCCAAACACUCCUUCAAGAGGAGUAUACGGCCGUACACAUGGAUGUAUGUCCAUACACCCAUCAUGGUCGUGAACUCAAGACCUUAUGUACGCUUUUCCUCUUUUCUUCCUUCAUUUCUCAUGAAUCCAAGUCAAGAAAAUCGGUUUUCUCUCAACUAUCAUCAAGAUUUUCAUACUAAAUCUUACAAAGUGGUAAGUGAUUCUUCCAUCUUUCUUGAUAUCCUCCUUAGUUAUGUAUCAUCUAAUGAUUCAUCCAUGAAAACGACUCUUUAUGAUAGAUCAUCAACUUUCACCAAGAACACCAUGAACACACACUUGUUCUUGGGCCAUGAACCCCCUAAAGAACCUCAAAAGUGUAAGUAUUCUCUCUAUCAUCUACUAAUACAUGUUAAACACUUGAUUCAUAGCCUUGAAAAAACAUCAAACUCAAGAUUAUCAAGGGUGUAUGGUCGUACACACCUCAAACCCUCCAAAUUGAUAGUUUUGUCCAUCCUCUUGUUGUAAAUUUGUCACACUAGUUACCCCAAGGAUCAAACAUCCUUUUUUGCAUGUUUUUCCAUGGGUUUAUGGUCGUACACUCCAUGAACCAUACACCUCUAGUUGUACACUCUUUUGUGUGGCCGUAAACCCCUUUAGUCAAUCACAUGUGAUUGAAACACUUUAUAGCAAGUGUUUCCUGGUCCGUAAGGGUGUUUCCUUGCAUUUUAGUUGUUUAAAACACGAAUUUCAUGCCUAUAUAUGCCAUUAUAUGUCAUUAAGGACUCGUUUGUGUCUCGGGAAUUCAUUCGUGGAACAUCUCAUUCUUACACGAAACUACAGUGAAUCACCCAUAUAAGGUGAGUUCAUACCCCAAUAAUCAACCUUUUAAAUGUUUUAAACUCUUUUAAGGGGGGGGAUUACAAGUUGAACACAAUGAUAAUUGUGUAAAUGUUAUAUGUGAUAAACAACAUUUUAAAAGAUUUUCUUAUGUGUUUUAAGUGAUCAAAUAAUUUCAAAAACCCUUUUAAAUUUAUGUCACUUUGUUGUUUAUAAAACUCUGUUUUUAAGGUUCAAUCAUUACUCAAUAGAUAAAUGAAUUUUUUCUUCAAGUCAGUAACAGUUCAAGUAAACAUACUAGUAAACUAUAAUAGUUAUAGUUUAGGGGUUGAGAACAUACUAUAAAGAGAGCACAGGGAGGAACAUACACUAACAAGAAUAGAAGGAACAUACGAUAACGAGAACAAGAUAACAUCAAUGUGAGUCUACUUCGCGACUUAACAAUAUACUUGUUAGGUCGCGUUUUGUAACCAGAGUCUCCUAGAGGGAGAGCAUGAAUUUGUGUAUAGAUCUAUACGGGAUUGACACCCCACACCUUGAUGCUAGCUACAGUAGGACUUGCAAGUCUACGGAUGACAAACGUCACAUCAGUUUCGGUGCUACAAGGUUGUCUUGUUUGAACGUACGUCAAAUCAGUAUGGUUAUAACCACAUCACAUCUUAACCUUAAUUAAUAAACAGGUUUUAAGGCAGUUAGUGGUCAGUAGUUACUUAUAUACAACACUACUGUAGACUUUCAUUUUCCCAUUACAUUCAUAUAGUGAUCUUCUCACGUAAAAGAUAAUGCAAACUAUUUUCUAGUAAAGAUACUCUUAAACAUGGGAAAACUUUCAAAAGACAAACAAUACAGUCGAGUCUUAGUAAAUUGAAUUAGAAGGGGGCCUAUAAUGCCAACCUUAUCAUUCCUUAGUUUAUACAUUAGGGACAUAUAUAAAUCAGGUUCGACAGGCAGUAGAAUGUGUGCUUUCCGCUUCAUUUCAUGUUCCUUGUUUGGUUGUGGGCUUAGAGCAGAUGCACACAGUCUACUAUCUAUUCGAUCUUAGUUUUAUAUAUAUAUAUAUAUAUAUAUAUAUAUAUAUAUAUUUCGUAUACACUAAGUAAUCAUAAGGAGUACCAGGUAUAGGUCAGGUCACAACAAGUACUAAUUCAAUACACCGUUUUCAUGUACAAAAACAUACUUUUCAGUUAGAACAUUUAGUAGGAUAAAUCAAAAAGUUAUCAGUAAAAUGUUUAAUCCAUUUUAUUAAACCGGUAUGACUUAAAGGACCUUUAGUGGUUACUUCUAUAAUACCUUAGUUUAUACAUCCGGGUUAUAUAUAAUUAAGACUCGAUAGACAGUUGAAUGUGUGUUUUCUGCCUUACUUCCUGUUCCUUAUUGGUUGUGUGCUUAGGGCAGAUUCACCCACUUAACUGUCCAUUCGAUAGUAGAUUAUAUUUAGCUAGUAUAAACUAAGUGAUUAUAGAAGAAACUAUUGUGGUUAUCAUUUUUACUAAAGGAAAUAAGGGUUUUCCUUAAAGAAUUUUUACAAUUUACUCUGUAAGUACCAAAUGAAUACGCUAGGGUUGUAGCCAACAA